rnacentral:rRNA from 1 species
AUUGAACGCUGGCGGCAGGCCUAACACAUGCAAGUCGAACGAGUGGCGGACGGGUGAGUAAUGUCUGGGAAACUGCCUGAUGGAGGGGGAUAACUACUGGAAACGGUAGCUAAUACCGCAUACCAUCGGAUGUGCCCAGAUGGGAUUAGCUAGUAGGUGGGGUAAAGGCUCACCUAGGCGACGAUCCCUAGCUGGUCUGAGAGGAUGACCAGCCACACGGGAACUGAGACACGGUCCAGACGCCUACGGGAGCCAGCAGUGGGGAAUAUUGGACAAUGGGCGCAAGCCUGAUGCAGCCAGGCCGCGUGUAUGAAGAAGGCCUUCGGGUCGUAAAGUACUGGCAGCGGGGAGGCGUUACCCGCAUAUGAAGCACCGGCUAGCUCCGUGCCAGCAGCCGCGGUAAUAC